rnacentral:rRNA from 2 species
AACGAACGCUUGCGGCAGGCUUAACACAUGCAAGUCGAACGCCCCUUCGGGGGAGUGGCAGACGGGUGAGUAACACGUGGGAACCUACCUUUCGGUACGGAAUAACUGAGCGAAAGCCCAGCUAAUACCGUAUACGCCCUUCGGGGGAAAGAUUUAUUGCCGAAAGAUGGGCCCGCGUCGGAUUAGCUUGUUGGUGGGGUAACGGCCUACCAAGGCGACGAUCCGUAGCUGGUCUGAGAGGACGAUCAGCCACACUGGGACUGAGACACGGCCCAGACUCCUACGGGAGGCAGCAGUGGGGAAUCUUGGACAAUGGGCGAAAGCCUGAUCCAGCCAUGCCGCGUGAGUGAUGAAGGCCUUAGGGUUGUAAAGCUCUUUUACCAGGGACGAUAAUGACGGUACCUGGAGAAUAAGCCCCGGCUAACUUCG